rnacentral:lncRNA from 1 species
GUCAGAGAUUUAGAAUGAGCUUGUAAUAAAUUAUCUAACUUGUGCCGAUUUGGCCAAGAACAGUAGAAUAAAGGUAAAAAUUCUAUACGCACAGGUCAAUACGCUGGACAUGAUGAAACAAAAUGAUAUUCGUCCUCUAAAACAUUCAUAUUGCAACAUAUACAAAUUCUGUUUUCUCUUUGAGUAUUUAGAUAACGACCAAC